CCAGGCAGUGACGCCUGAGGCAGGACGUGCCCUCUCUGCCCUCCUGGAAGUACCCUGCCGCGGGAAGCAGCAGUCACCUCUGGAACCCCAUACGCACGCCGCCCCGGAUUAAGUUAGUCUGGUUUCUGUUGUAGACAGAAGUAUUAGCUGGUCCUUCUGUUUCAGAAGCUCUUAAAAAAAAAAAAAAAAAGGAAACACAUAACACUUUUUUAUUAAAAAAAACAAAAGGGCCACAACAACAUGCAAGGUAGGCCCUGGGCGCCCCUCUGCCCGCACCUUCAGCGUGUUGUCACAGAAAAGCAGAAUCAGCAUCUCGCACGGAAUCAAGGCAGGAGCACAAGGUGUUUCACUAGACAUUAAGGAACGUGUCUCCCCGUGGUGGUACGUGCACGGGGACGUUAUGGGAAGGAGCACAGAGAACGGGGAGAAAUGAAGCCCCCUUCCCUCCUCCUAGCCAGCCGGUCCCCUCCCUGCGGCCGCUUCUGUCCCUGAUUUCCGGAACAUUCUUCCAGAGGUGGAGUGAGGUCUUCCCACCGUUCUCAGGUGAUGUUUAUUCAUGGCCAUGCUUGAUUCCUUCUAGGCUCAUUUCUGUAAACCCUUCCAGGGUUGUUAAAGAGCGUCUGAGAGGUGACAUGGCCCUGGGCUUCCAUCAGACUGCCUAACUGCCUUCACUAAUCACGCUGAGAUCAAGCGGAUAAAAAGACCCUCCAAGGUCAGAGGUGUUGGCUAGUACUUCUCAUUUUGGAAUAUUCCGGUCAGCAAUCCAUAAAACCUGGCUUGAGACUCUCCUCCUGCAGGAAGGCCUCCUGGAUUCCUGCCCUAACCUUCAGCUGAGCUCAUGUCGCCCGUCAAGUAGGCGCCUUCUCCAGUAACCUCAGGAUCCAGACGAGUGGUGUCACCAUCUCCCAGCCUCCCAGGCUAGAAGCCCCCCAGUCCUGGAAAGCAUCCUAGCCCCUGGGCAUGCUGACAUUUACUGCUGUAACAGGAUUUCACACUCUCGAAAUCUGCACGGCAGCAUCUGUGCCUGGAAGUUUCAGAGAAAUUAAGGGAGGCUGUGAGCUCAGGGUCUGACCUUUGGGCAGAGGACGGGCCUGGGGAGCACUGGUCUUCAAAGCUGGCUUUGAUCUCCCGGAACUAGGUGUCCUGGGAUGCAAGCCAGCUGUGCCACUGGUGGCCUGGGAACCCCUGGACGGGGCACCUGACUCAGCCUCUGUGACCCCUCCAUCCCCGCCCCCGCCCAGGUUCCGCUAAAAGCACCAACCCCCUUACCUUAGGUCACGAGCAGGUAAUGGUGGGGAGGGGCUUGGCAAAAUACACAAGCUGUAUAGACUCUUAGGGUCCCCUCCAGAUUCAAGGUUGGUAGCUGUGAGUGAAAUACAUGCGAAUUAGGAAAGGAAACCAGACUGAAUUCAGUCAUUCUGCUUCACCCCUGCUGGGGCUGUCCCGAGACCCGUCCAGCCACCCACACCCUCGCGUGGGAGAACGGGCUCUGGGCCCAGGCGUGUGCUGACAGGCCUGUGAGCCCGGGGUGGGCGGCCCCCGGUUCUCCACGGCCCCUGCAGACGGACAGCAGCCGGCCAACUGGACGACCAAGGAGCAGAGCAGUGGGUGUGAGGGCGGUGAGGGCGGCGGGCAUCCUCUGGGCCCUCGGGCCUUUUGUCCCCGAACCGAGGCUCUGAGACUUUCAACCGAGUGGCGGAGCCACGCUGUCCCCCAGGAUAAGAACGGGGCAUCUGUGCGGGGCCUCUGGACACCGGGUCCCACCCUCCCGGGAGAGAGCGCGAGCAGCAUGCUUGGUGACGGGGGUCUUUGUCGGGUCAGUGAGGACCUCGCCAGGUUCGUUCCCGGGCUGCCAUGCGAGGCCCUGUGAACCGGGUGGCUCCAAGCCACAGAGAUCCACUCCCGGAGCCUGUGCGGGAGACUCCAGGGGCCCCGGGCGACGCGUGUGUCCUUGGCGCUCCGUGGCGUGGGCUCCACCGCCUGGUGUCUGCCUGCUUCGCUCUCCGUGUCCCAGGCCCCCUCCUUUCUCUGGUAAGGACCCCAGCCCUUGGACCCGGGGCCCGCCCUGAAUCCAGACCCUUCAUCCGAUUACAUCUGCAAAGACCCCAUUUUCAAGUCUGGUCACAUUCGCAGGCAGGGGGGACUCGGACAUAGCUUUCGGGCGCCAGGACCCCAUCCGCCAGCCUGGUCCUCGGGCUCUCAGUCUUGAACAUCAGUCCUUCGGUGGAUAUAGAUGGGGCUGAAGCGACUCUUGGAUUCGCGCUGCCUGGGGACUCAGAGAUGAAGAGACCCCAUCCCGCCCUCAGACGGCCUGUGGUCUUUCUGCCCUGUCUCCUCUCGUGAACCCGGGCGUCACGGGAGGGGAUGUCCUGCGUGCACCGAGAGAGGAGGGAAAGCGACCAGGGGCCCACGUCUGUGCUGGGUCCUCACAAUCAGAAACAAAUGCCAAGUGGACUUUGGGUUGACGGACGCCUGUCAUCACGGACCUACCACGUGCAUGGAUUUAGGGGCUUGGCGGACCCUCGUGAACCACGUCUGGUCAAGGAAGGUGCGUGUGAACAAUAUUCACUUGGAGAAGUGCCACGAGACGCCCUCGUGCCGUGUUCGGUGGGGGCUGGCUUCUGGGAGCGCCUUGCGCCCCACACGGCUGGACUGAGGUUGCCUCUGGAAUGGAAUAGCUAAAACAGGUGGUCAUAGGUCAAAAUUUUGCAGAUUAAAGCUCAUUUUACCAUUUCAACAACAGGAGGAGUCCUCGUACCAGAGAGUUUUUGACUGGCUGCUUAGUUGGGAGAGUCCUCAGGCAAGGAAUGGCGUUGUUUUAAAGGUCUAGAAGUGUCUGCAUUUCACACAGAAACGUGUACGCUCUCACCUUUAUCUUUGUUAGCGCAGGGUCAUGACCUUUGCUUGGAGAACCGGUCUGCUGCUGGGAACGGUCUGCCCUUCCCGGCACAAACCACACAGGCGGUUAUGGUGUGGGAUUUCCCAAAAGCAGGAUGUGUGUGUAGCAUUGGUAACUAAAUCCCGGGGAGGGAUGGGACACACUCACGGAUAAAGGCACUGGGGAGCUGUCUGGGGUUCCGGAAUGUUCUCCCUCCUAAACACAUGUAGUUAUACAAGCUGUACGAUUAAGAUUAGUUUCAUCAGGGCGCCUGGGUGGCUGAAUCAGUUAAGCAUCUGACUCUUGAUUUCGGCUCCCGUCACGAUCUCAGGGUUGUGGGAUAGCGCCCCAC